rnacentral:rRNA from 1 species
UCAGGAUGAACGCUAGCUACAGGCUUAACACAUGCAAGUCGAGGGGCAGCAUGAUCGAAGCUUGCUUGAUGAUGGCGACCGGCGCACGGGUGAGUAACGCGUAUCCAACCUUCCCUAUAGUAGAGGAUAGCCCGGCGAAAGUCGGAUUAAUACUCUAUGUUUUCCAAUGCAGACAUCUAAAAUGGAACAAAGGUUUACCGCUAUAGGAUGGGGAUGCGUCUGAUUAGGUUGUUGGCGGGGUAACGGCCCACCAAGCCUACGAUCAGUAGGGGUUCUGAGAGGAAGGUCCCCCACAUUGGAACUGAGACACGGUCCAAACUCCUACGGGAGGCAGCAGUGAGGAAUAUUGGUCAAUGGGCGAGAGCCUGAACCAGCCAAGUAGCGUGCAGGAAUGACGGCCCUAUGGGUUGUAAACUGCUUUUAUACAGGGAUAAAGUGCGCCACGUGUGGCGCUUUGUAGGUACUGUAUGAAUAAGGACCGGCUAAUUCCGUGCCAGCCGCUGC